UAAAUCUUGGGCAAUGAGAUUAAACAGUUUUCGGAUUAUAUUUCAUAGCCUUCGGUCGUUGAGUGAAAUAUCUAUCAACACACUCAAUUAAUUGGCCUAACCCGAAAAACAACUUGAGGGUCAUUGAAAGCAACUUAAUUUAAUUAAUGUUGCUCACUACCCAUUUACUUCUUGGAUGUCUAUCUUUUGUGUUUUGGUCCUUUACCAUGUGUUGGUCCCCGAGCCCACUAUAUUAGCCUAUUACUAUUACACCCCAAAAAUAUAUUGGCCUCACUGCUUGAAGAAGCCGUGUGUGCGCACAAUUGUGAGAAAAGGCCGCCAACUUUUAUUGUGUUCUCUCUCUUGUAGUUGAAACUUGUCUUCCUCUCUUCUUUUGUGAAUACAUUGAGUUGAGCAACCGAAGUAAAAAUAGUUGUGGAUUGGAGCCAUUACUUGGGUGUGUUUGAUAAGGUUGGGAUUGGUAUAAUGAGCUCGAAUUCCAGGAAUUGAAGAUCUGUUCCACUACACUUGACAUCUUUGUUUUCCAUCAUCAUCCAGUAGUUUACAACUCCUCUACAGAUGCAGAUUGCGGGUAAUAUCUUUAUGCAUCAGUCUGAAGGUGGCUACAUGGCAUCAACACUGGAUUAGGUUUGAACCAACACAUCUUCUGUGCUUUAGAGGAUAAAUAAACAAAUUUACACUAUGUAUUCGAUCAUGAGGUUUGAAUCAACACAAAUUUGAAUCAACUCCAAUGCUAGUUGGUUGUGGAUAUUUAAUAUUUUGUUUGUUAUAUUGGAUUUUUUAUUUUUCUCAA